CCGCGGCGUGCGCGCGCCCUGCCCCGCCGAUCAAGCCGAGAGCAGUUCCCGAUCUAGCACGUGUCGAAGAGAGUUGCCUUCGAGAAGCGUGGACGGCACUCAGCACAGGCAGUCGACGUCGUCGUGCGGCGGCGCCGUCCCGCGCGCCACGCUGUCGGCCGCCGUGCCCGACGUGGCCAUGGCGCCCAACGCUAACACGCAUCUGCUCACACAACCUGCGUAUG